GACGAACGCUGGCGGCGUGCUUAACACAUGCAAGUCGAACGGAAAGGCCCCUUUGGGGGUACUCGAGUGGCGAACGGGUGCGUAACACGUGAGUAACCUGCCCUUGACUUCGGGAUAACUUCAGGAAACUGGGGCUAAUACCGGAUAGGAAUCCUUGCUGCAUGGUGGGGGUUGGAAAGCUUCGGCGGUUUUGGAUGGACUCGCGGCUUAUCAGCUUGUUGGUGGGGUAGUGGCUUACCAAGGCUUUGACGGGUAGCCGGCCUGAGAGGGCGACCGGCCACAUUGGGACUGAGAUACGGCCCAGACUCCUACGGGAGGCAGCAGUGGGGAAUAUUGCACAAUGGGCGGAAGCCUGAUGCAGCAACGCCGCGUGCGGGAUGACGGCCUUCGGGUUGUAAACCGCUUUCAGCAGGGGCGAAGCUUGUGGUGACGGUACCUGCAGAAGAAGCACCGGCUAACUACGUG
rnacentral:rRNA from 1 species